CCUACGGGUGGCAGCAGUGGGGAAUAUUGCACAAUGGGGGAAACCCUGAUGCAGCGACGCCGCGUGAGUGAAGAAGUAUUUCGGUAUGUAAAGCUCUAUCAGCAGGGAAGAAAAUGACGGUACCUGACUAAGAAGCCCCGGCUAACUCCGUGCCAGCAGCCGCGGUAAUACGGAGGAUGCGAGCGUUAUCCGGAUUUAUUGGGUUUAAAGGGUGCGUAGGCGGGCUGUUAAGUCAGCGGUCAAAUGUCGGGGCUCAACCCCGGCCUGCCGUUGAAACUGGCGGCCUCGAGUGGGCGAGAAGUAUGCGGAAUGCGUGGUGUAGCGGUGAAAUGCAUAGAUAUCACGCAGAACUCCGAUUGCGAAGGCAGCAUACCGGCGCCCGACUGACGCUGAGGCACGAAAGCGUGGGUAUCGAACAGGAUUAGAUACCCCAGUAGUC
rnacentral:rRNA from 1 species